rnacentral:rRNA from 1 species
AGAGUUUGAUCCUGGCUCAGGAUGAACGCUAGCGGCAGGCCUAACACAUGCAAGUCGAGGGGUAACGCGAGGUAGCAAUACUUCGGCGACGACCGGCGCACGGGUGCGUAACGCGUAUGCAACCUGCCCUGUACAGGGGGAUAACGGGGUGAAAAUCCCACUAAUAUCCCAUGGUGUCGCGAGGCCGCAUGGUUUUGCGACUAAAGCUUCGGUGGUACAGGAUGGGCAUGCGUGACAUUAGCUAGUUGGCGGGGCAACGGCCCACCAAGGCAACGAUGUCUAGGGGAGCUGAGAGGCUAAUCCCCCACACUGGUACUGAGACACGGACCAGGCUCCUACGGGAGGCAGCAGUGAGGAAUAUUGGUCAAUGGAGGGAACUCUGAACCAGCCAUGCCGCGUGAGGGAAGAAGGCCCUAUGGGUUGUAAACCUCUUUUGCCUGGGGGCAAUAAGGCGCAUGCGUGCGUUGAUGAGAGUACCAGGCGAAUAAGCAUCGGCUAACUCCGUGCCAGCAGCCGCGGUAAUACGGAGGAUGCGAGCGUUAUCCGGAUUUAUUGGGUUUAAAGGGUGCGCAGGCGGUCGAUUAAGUCAGCGGUGAAAUGUCCCGGCUCAACCGGGGAGCUGCCGUUGAUACUGGUUGGCUUGAGUGCGAACGGCGCCGGCGGAAUGAGUGGUGUAGCGGUGAAAUGCAUAGAUAUCACUCAGAACACCGAUCGCGAAGGCAGCUGGCGAGGACGUUACUGACGCUGAGGCACGAAAGCGUGGGGAUCAAACAGGAUUAGAUACCCUGGUAGUCCACGCAGUAAACGAUGAUGACUUGUUGUCGGCGAUAGAAUGUCGGUGACAAAGCGAAAGCGAUAAGUCAUCCACCUGGGGAGUACGAUCGCAAGGUUGAAACUCAAAGGAAUUGACGGGGGCCCGCACAAGCGGAGGAGCAUGUGGUUUAAUUCGAUGAUACGCGAGGAACCUUACCUGGACUCAAAUGUUGAGUGACCGUUCCGGAGACGGGACUUCCCUUCGGGGCGCUCAGCAAGGUGCUGCAUGGUUGUCGUCAGCUCGUGCCGUGAGGUGUCGGCUUAAGUGCCAUAACGAGCGCAACCCCUUUCGUCAGUUGCCAUCAGGUGAUGCUGGGCACUCUGGCGAUACUGCCACCGUAAGGUGUGCGGAAGGUGGGGAUGACGUCAAAUCAGCACGGCCCUUACGUCCGGGGCUACACACGUGUUACAAUGGCGCAUACAGAGAGUCGGUCCUGUGCAAGCAGGGUCUAAUCGAGAAAGUGCGUCGUAGUUCGGACUGGGGUCUGCAACCCGACCCCACGAAGCUGGAUUCGCUAGUAAUCGCGCAUCAGCCAUGGCGCGGUGAAUACGUUCCCGGGCCUUGUACACACCGCCCGUCAAGCCAUGAAAGCCGGGGGCACCUGAAGUCUGUGACCGCGAGGGGCGGCCUAAGGUGAAACUGGUAAUUGGGGCUAAGUCGUAACAAGGUAACCGUA